rnacentral:hammerhead_ribozyme from 1 species
AUCUAGCUGACGAGUCCCAAAUAGGACGAAACACGCGUCCUGAAU